rnacentral:lncRNA from 1 species
CUAGCUUGUGUCACAUUGACAAAAUAACUAACCAGGGCACAGGAUGACACCAUGUAUCCCUGGCUGGUCUGGAACUCUCGAUGUAGAAUAGGGUGGCCUAUAGCUCACAGAGAUCCUCCUGCCUCUGCCCACUGAGAGCUGUCACAACACUGGCUUAGAGGUCUAUCUAUUUUGAAAAAGAGCAUUUCUGAACAAAGAUUCUUUCCUGGACAGUGUUUCCAAACUACAGUUAGAUCUUAUUUAUGCAUAUAUGUGCCUAUGUGUGCAGGUCACUUUGGAGGCCAAAAGGUGACAAAUCCCCUACAACGGAAGCUACAUGUUCCUGGAGCCCUGAGGCAAGGGAUUUGAUGGAGAAAUCUGUCUUACAGCCGAGUGUUCCAAGAUCUCUUACCCUCUCUGCGUUAUGUCUGACCAUGGAUCUCUGUAUUUGUUCCCAUCUGCUGCGGGAGGAAGCUUCUCUGAUGAUGAAGUAAGGCACUGAUCUCUGAGUAAAGCAGAAUGUCAUUGGGAGUCAUUUUAUUGCUGUGUUCCUUUAGCAGUACUUGGUUUUCCCCUAGGUUCUUGGCCUAUC